rnacentral:tRNA from 1 species
CCCCCAAUAGCUCAGUUAGAAGAGUGUGAGACCGCAAUUAGAUGCUACAUUAUUUCAAGGCCACUGGUUCGAUCCUGUCCUGGGGGA